rnacentral:rRNA from 1 species
UACGGGGGGGGGCAAGCGUUGUUCGGAAUUACUGGGCGUAAAGGGCUCGUAGGUGGCCAACUAAGUCAGACGUGAAAUCCCUCAGCUUAACUGGGGAACUGCGUCUGAUACUGGAUGGCUUGAGUUUGGGAGGAGGGAUGCGGAAUUCCAGGUGUAGCGGUGAAAUGCGUAGAGAUGUGGAGGAACACCAGUGGCGAAGGCGACUCUUUGGCCUGUAACUGACGCUGAGGCGCGAAAGGCGUGGGGAGCAAACAGG